GAAAAUCAGUUAGUCUCCGCUCUCCUCCGGUGCAGUCCAAAUUCCCAAAGUCUCCGGAAGGAAGAGAUAGAGGGAGGACAUGGGUAAUCCCUCUUUCUCCCUCAGAUUCGCCGUAUUUCUCUCGUUCUCUGUCGCAGCUUCGUCUUCCUCUCAGUUCUAUUUCUUCCAAAAAUCACGCUCACCAUUCCCUUCUUCACCUCCAAUCCCUAAAGCCACCCCCUCCGAUUUGCUCUCCGUCUUAGGCCC
rnacentral:misc_RNA from 1 species